rnacentral:rRNA from 1 species
AUUGAACGCUGGCGGCAGGCUUAACACAUGCAAGUCGAGCGGGGGAUGUUACUUCGGUAACUGACCUAGCGGCGGACGGGUGAGUAAUGCUUAGGAAUCUGCCUAUUAGUGGGGGACAACAUUCCGAAAGGAAUGCUAAUACCGCAUACGCCCUACGGGGGAAAGCAGGGGAUCUUCGGACCUUGCGCUAAUAGAUGAGCCUAAGUCGGAUUAGCUAGUUGGUGGGGUAAAGGCCUACCAAGGCGACGAUCUGUAGCGGGUAUGAGAGGAUGAUCCGGCACACUGGGACUGAGACACGGCCCAGACUGCUACGGGAGGCAGCAGUGGGGAAGAUUGGACAAUGGGCGGAAGCCUGAGCCAGCCAUGCCGCGUGUGUGAAGAAGGCCUUUUGGUUGUAAAGCACUGUAAGCGGGGAGGAGGCUGCUUUAGUUAAUACCUAAAGAGAGUGGACGUUAAUCGCAGAAUAAGCACCGGCUAACUCUGUGCCAGCCGCCGCAGUAACAC